GUAACUGAUGCAGAUGAUGAGGAGCAGGAAAAGGCGAUGGAGUUGGAUCCACUGGAAGUAGGAAGUGACAAUGAGAGCACUAGGCAGGCGAUGAACAAAACGAUGCUAUUCACGACUUUUUCAUUUGAAGGGCUCGCAUCCAGCAGAUGUGUCCAUGCAGUCCAUUGAUCAUCAAGAGCAGUCGCUCCUUUGUUAGAGGAGUCACUUGAUAGAGGAUUUAUAAGUGACAUGUCACUCGAUGCUGAACCUGAAGGCAUCAAUUAUUGAAUAAUUGGCUCAUCAUCGCAGCGAGGCCAUCCUAAUUGACUCUUUCGGAUACAUUUACACCCUGAAGACCGAGUCCAGAGAGAAGGUCUUCUAGAGAUGCGCGGUUCGCAAUAUCACUUUGAACUGUGGCGCCAGUGUUGUUCAACAAGGAUCCAACUUUCAGCGGGGACCAAACAACCAUGAGCAUCC